CUUAGGCGUGUGACUGCGUACCUUUUGUAUAAUGGGUCAGCGACUUAUAUUCUGUAGCAAGGUUAACCGAAUAGGGGAGCCGAAGGGAAACCGAGUCUUAACUGGGCGUUAAGUUGCAGGGUAUAGACCCGAAACCCGGUGAUCUAGCCAUGGGCAGGUUGAAGGUUGGGUAACACUAACUGGAGGACCGAACCGACUAAUGUUGAAAAAUUAGCGGAUGACUUGUGGCUGGGGGUGAAAGGCCAAUCAAACCGGGAGAUAGCUGGUUCUCCCCGAAAGCUAUUUAGGUAGCGCCUCGUGAAUUCAUCUCCGGGGGUAGAGCACUGUUUCGGCAAGGGGGUCAUCCCGACUUACCAACCCGAUGCAAACUGCGAAUACCGGAGAAUGUUAUCACGGGAGACACACGGCGGGUGCUAACGUCCGUCGUGAAGAGGGAAACAACCCAGACCGCCAGCUAAGGUCCCAAAGUCAUGGUUAAGUGGGAAACGAUGUGGGAAGGCCCAGACAGCCAGGAUGUUGGCUUAGAAGCAGCCAUCAUUUAAAGAAAGCGUAAUAGCUCACUGGUCGAGUCGGCCUGCGCGGAAGAUGUAACGGGGCUAAACCAUGCACCGAAGCUGCGGCAGCGACGCUGAUGCGUUGUUGGGUAGGGGAGCGUUCUGUAAGCCUGUGAAGGUGUACUGUGAGGUAUGCUGGAGGUAUCAGAAGUGCGAAUGCUGACAUAAGUAACGAUAAAGCGGGUGAAAAGCCCGCUCGCCGGAAGACCAAGGGUUCCUGUCCAACGUUAAUCGGGGCAGGGUGAGUCGACCCCUAAGGCGAGGCCGAAAGGCGUAGUCGAUGGGAAACAGGUUAAUAUUCCUGUACUUGGUGUUACUGCGAAGGGGGGACGGAGAAGGCUAUGUUGGCCGGGCGACGGUUGUCCCGGUUUAAGCGGGUAGGCUGGUUUUCCAGGCAAAUCCGGAAAAUCAAGGCUGAGGCGUGAUGACGAGGCACUACGGUGCUGAAGCAACAAAUGCCCUGCUUCCAGGAAAAGCCUCUAAGCAUCAGGUAACAUCAAAUCGUACCCCAAACCGACACAGGUGGUCAGGUAGAGAAUACCAAGGCGCUUGAGAGAACUCGGGUGAAGGAACUAGGCAAAAUGGUGCCGUAACUUCGGGAGAAGGCACGCUGAUAUGUAGGUGAAGUCCCUCGCGGAUGGAGCUGAAAUCAGUCGAAGAUACCAGCUGGCUGCAACUGUUUAUUAAAAACACAGCACUGUGCAAACACGAAAGUGGACGUAUACGGUGUGACGCCUGCCCGGUGCCGGAAGGUUAAUUGAUGGGGUCAGCGCAAGCGAAGCUCUUGAUCGAAGCCCCGGUAAACGGCGGCCGUAACUAUAACGGUCCUAAGGUAGCGAAAUUCCUUGUCGGGUAAGUUCCGACCUGCACGAAUGGCGUAAUGAUGGCCAGGCUGUCUCCACCCGAGACUCAGUGAAAUUGAACUCGCUGUGAAGAUGCAGUGUACCCGCGGCAAGACGGAAAGACCCCGUGAACCUUUACUAUAGCUUGACACUGAACAUUGAGCCUUGAUG
rnacentral:rRNA from 1 species